rnacentral:rRNA from 1 species
AGUAGUUUGAUCGAUGGCUCAGGACGACGCUGGCGGCGUGCUUAACACAUGCAAGUCGAACGGAAAGGCCCUGCUUUUGUGGGGUGCUCGAGUGGCGAACGGGUGAGUAACACGUGAGUAACCUGCCCUUGACUUUGGGAUAACUUCAGGAAACUGGGGCUAAUACCGGAUAGGAGCUCCUGCUGCAUGGUGGGGGUUGGAAAGUUUCGGCGGUUGGGGAUGGACUCGCGGCUUAUCAGCUUGUUGGUGGGGUAGUGGCUUAUCAAGGCUUUGACGGGUAGCCGGCCUGAGAGGGUGACCGGCCACAUUGGGACUGAGAUACGGCCCAGACUCCUACGGGAGGCAGCAGUGGGGAAUAUUGCACAAUGGGCGAAGCCUGAUGCAGCAACGCCGCGUGCGGGAUGACGGCCUUCGGGUUGUAAACCGCUUUCGCCUGUGACGAAGCGUGAGUGACGGUAAUGGGUAAAGAAGCACCGGCUAACUACGUG